UUGCCUAAGGGUUAAAUAUUGAUAUCAAACUAUACUGGUAAGUGCUAUAAACCUACAGCACACCCCAGCUUUAAUCUAGUUUUUCAUAUUGGAUGUGAGUGCUGGCUAAAUGAGGCCCUUCUGCUUUUAAAGAGGUGAUCAGAGGGAAAUGGGUAGAUUAAGAAAAGAAGCUUAUCUAAAAAAAUUAAGAGGGAGGAGUAAGGCCUGAAGUUGAAAAAUACAUAGACAGUAUCUCAAUUAACAAGAAAAAGCUUUCCAAAGAAUGGAUGUACUUGAAGCAUGGUAAAAAAAUUAAUUGGUUCUCUUGAGGUUAAUAGGGAAUUAGAGGGAGGAUGGAGUCGCAUUGCAGACCUGUUGUGUAAUUUCCCUGCCUGCUUUUGCAAUUGAAUUGGAUGGAGAUUUGCUUUAGCUGGAAGCCCAUUUUCACGAACACAAAGAAAAGAACUAAAAAAUAAUGCUCAGCUUGCAAGACAGGCAGGACACAGCAGGGCCAAAGGGAGCUGAAGCAAAAGAUUUGUGGGUAGGAAACUGUCAGAGGAAACUACUGACAAAUAUUUGUCAGGGUGGUUUUGGUUGAUUCUAAAAGCAACAAACGUUCUGAAGGACGGAAAAAAAAUGUAAAACAAAUACCAAUACGAGAAUCAAGGCUUAUUUGCCAGAGAUUAGCACGCUUUUAUUACUGAGCACACAUAUGAAAAUCUGACCUUUGGCAAGGAGGUGUAAUUAGACAGUGUGCACACUGCAGGCAGCGUGGCUUUCCCCCAAAGGACAGCACGAGAAGCAGCAGGGGCUGAGGUGCUCCGGGGUUAUAAUGAGGAGACCUGCACAUUCUGGGCAGAUGUCUCCUGUGUAGCAAAUAUUGCCCAUGUGGGAGGAGAAGAGGGUGCACACACUCUGUGCAGCUCAGGAACCUCACCAGUGCAUGCCACCUCCCAGGACAGGCAGACUCCUGUUCCCCAUUUGUGUCUGCUGAGCAGGGAGGCGGGAUAGCCAGGACCUAGAUGGACCAUCCAGUGCUCUGCAAGGUGCAAAGCAAGAAGGUUUGUGGGAAGGAAGCUGGCAUGGGAAUAACAUGACUGUAGAGGCAACUGCAGAGAAAGACUACUCUGGACCAAGACCCUGGGGCUAUGAAGAUCUUGUCUCUUAGAGAUAAAAGAGACCUCAGCUGGAUUCCUGUGAAUAUUUACAAAAAUAAUAAUAGAAGGGGAAAAUUACA
rnacentral:lncRNA from 1 species